GAUGAACGCUGGCGGCGUGCCUAAUACAUGCAAGUAGAACGCUGAAGGAAGGAGCUUGCUCUUUCCGGAUGAGUUGCGAACGGGUGAGUAACGCGUAGGUAACCUGCCUGGUAGCGGGGGAUAACUAUUGGAAACGAUAGCUAAUACCGCAUAACAGUAGAUGUUGCAUGAUAUCUACUUAAAAGGUGCAAUUGCACCACUACCAGAUGGACCUGCGUUGUAUUAGCUAGUUGGUGAGGUAACGGCUCACCAAGGCGACGAUACAUAGCCGACCUGAGAGGGUGAUCGGCCACACUGGGACUGAGACACGGCCCAGACUCCUACGGGAGGCAGCAGUAGGGAAUCUUCGGCAAUGGACGGAAGUCUGACCGAGCAACGCCGCGUGAGUGAAGAAGGUUUUCGGAUCGUAAAGCUCUGUUGUAAGAGAAGAACGAGUGUGAGAGUGGAAAGUUCACAAUGUGACGGUAUCUUACCAGAAAGGGACGGCUAACUACGUG
rnacentral:rRNA from 1 species